rnacentral:rRNA from 1 species
GACGAACGCUGGCGGCGUGCUUAACACAUGCAAGUCGAACGGUAAGGCUCCAGCUUGCUGGGGUACACGAGUGGCGAACGGGUGAGCAACACGUGGGUGACCUGCCCUGCACUUCGGGAUAAGCCUGGGAAACUGGGUCUAAUACCGGAUAGGACCGCACCGUGAGGGUGUGGUGGAAAGUUUUUUCGGUGUGGGAUGGGCCCGCGGCCUAUCAGCUUGUUGGUGGGGUAAUGGCCUACCAAGGCGGCGACGGGUAGCCGGCCUGAGAGGGUGGACGGCCACAUUGGGACUGAGACACGGCCCAGACUCCUACGGGAGGCAGCAGUGGGGAAUAUUGCACAAUGGGCGGAAGCCUGAUGCAGCGACGCCGCGUGGGGGAUGACGGCCUUCGGGUUGUAAACUCCUUUCACCAUCGACGAAGGGUUUCUGACGGUAGAUGGAGAAGAAGCACCGGCUAACUACGUG